rnacentral:rRNA from 1 species
UACGUAGGGUGCAAGCGUUGUCCGGAAUUAUUGGGCGUAAAGAGCUCGUAGGCGGUCUGUCGCGUCUGCUGUGAAAUCUCAGGGCUUAACCCUGAGCUUGCAGUGGGUACGGGCAGACUAGAGUGCGGUAGGGGGAGACUGGAAUUCCUGGUGUAGCGGUGAAAUGCGCAGAUAUCAGGAGGAACACCGGUGGCGAAGGCGGGUCUCUGGGCCGUAACUGACGCUGGAGGAGCGGAAAGCAUGGGGAGCGAACAGG